rnacentral:sRNA from 1 species
GUUGGGCAUGGUGGCGCACACCUGUAAUACCAGCUACUUGGAGGCUAAGGCAGGAGGAUUGCAAGUUUGGGGCCAGUGUCAGCUAUUAGUGAGGCCCUAAGCAACUAAGUGAGAUCCUGUCUCUA